rnacentral:rRNA from 1 species
UAAUGCAAGUCGAACGCACAGCGAAAGGUGCUUGCACCUUUCAAGUGAGUGGCGAACGGGUGAGUAACACGUGGACAACCUGCCUCAAGGCUGGGGAUAACAUUUGGAAACAGAUGCUAAUACCGAAUAAAACUUAGUAUCGCAUGAUACCAGGUUAAAAGGCGCUACGGCGUCACCUAGAGAUGGAUCCGCGGUGCAUUAGUUAGUUGGUGGGGUAAAGGCCUACCAAGACAAUGAUGCAUAGCCGAGUUGAGAGACUGAUCGGCCACAUUGGGACUGAGACACGGCCCAAACUCCUACGGGAGGCUGCAGUAGGGAAUCUUCCACAAUGGGCGAAAGCCUGAUGGAGCAACGCCGCGUGUGUGAUGAAGGCUUUCGGGUCGUAAAGCACUGUUGUAUGGGAAGAAAAGUUAAGGUAGGGAAUGACCUUAGCCUGACGGUACCAUACCAGAAAGGGACGGCUAAAUACGUGCCAGCAGCCGCGGUAAUACGUAUGUCCCGAGCGUUAUCCGGAUUUAUUGGGCGUAAAGCGAGCGCAGACGGUUGGUUAAGUCUGAUGUGAAAGCCCGGAGCUCAACUCCGGAAAGGCAUUGGAAACUGGUUAACUUGAGUGCAGUAGAGGUAAGUGGAACUCCAUGUGUAGCGGUGGAAUGCGUAGAUAUAUGGAAGAACACCAGCGGCGAAGGCGGCUUACUGGACUGUAACUGACGUUGAGGCUCGAAAGUGUGGGUAGCAAACAGGAUUAGAUACCCUGGUAGUCCACACCGUAAACGAUGAACACUAGGUGUUAGGAGGUUUCCGCCUCUUAGUGCCGAAGCUAACGCAUUAAGUGUUCCGCCUGGGGAGUACGACCGCAAGGUUGAAACUCAAAGGAAUUGACGGGGACCCGCACAAGCGGUGGAGCAUGUGGUUUAAUUCGAAGCAACG